AACGCACAUUGCGCCCGCCAGUAUUCUGGCGGGCAUGCCUGUUCGAGCGUCAUUUCAACCAUCAAGCCCCCGGCUUGUGUUGGGGACCUGCGGCUGCCGCAGGCCCUGAAAACCAGUGGCGGGCUCGCUGUCACUCCGAGCGUAGUAGUUUACAUCUCGCUCAGGGCGUGCUGCGGGUUCCGGCCGUUAAAAGCCUUAUUUUACCCAAGGUUGACCUCGGAUCAGGUAGGAAGACCCGCUGAACUUAA
rnacentral:misc_RNA from 1 species